rnacentral:lncRNA from 1 species
UUUCAUCGUUUUAUAGGUCCAGUGAUAUUUUUCUUUUUCCCAUAGAGCACAGACAGGACUUUCUGGGUGACACUCGAUAUACCCAAGACCUAGGAAGCUCCUUCAAAGAUAAACCCUCAAAUUUGACCAAAAAGCAGUCUGCAUGGUGUGUACAUGGGACAACAGAAGCAAAAGACUCACAAGUCAAAGGCCAAGGCCAGGUGCUAGAAGAGGAAGCGCUGUGACGUCCCCUCCUUGCAAGGCUUCCCAGCCGCCGGCUCUGCAUCACCUGACUCCGCCCUUGCACACAGCGGACUUGUUCAGAGCUCAGCGAUUCCAGCCCUAGGAACUUACUCUAAUGAAACACAUCUAUGAAGAAACGUACAUCUUAUACUGGGUCCCCUCCAA